CCUACGGGUGGCAGCAGUGAGGAAUAUUGGUCAAUGGACGAGAGUCUGAACCAGCCAAGUAGCGUGAAGGAUGACUGCCCUAUGGGUUGUAAACUUCUUUUAUAUGGGAAUAAAACGUUCCACGUGUGGGAUUUUGUAUGUAUCAUAUGAAUAAGGAUCGGCUAACUCCGUGCCAGCAGCCGCGGUAAUACGGAGGAUCCGAGCGUUAUCCGGAUUUAUUGGGUUUAAAGGGAGCGUAGGUGGAUUGUUAAGUCAGUUGUGAAAGUUUGUGGCUCAACCGUGAAAUUGCAGUUGAAACGGGCAGUCUUGAGUACAGUAGAGGUAGGCGGAAUUCGUGGUGUAGCGGUGAAAUGCUUAGAUAUCACGAAGAACUCCGAUUGCGAAGGCAGUUCACUGGACUGCAACUGACGCUGAGGCUCGAAAGUGUGGGUAUCAAACAGGAUUAGAUACCCCUGUAGUC
rnacentral:rRNA from 1 species